CCGAGUUUACAACUCCCAAACCCCUGUGAACAUACCUAUACGUUGCCUCGGCGGAUCAGCCCGCGCCCCGUAAAAGGGACGGCCCCCCGCCCGAGGACCCCUAAACUCUGUUUUUAGUGGAACUUCUGAGUAAAACAACAAAUAAAUCA
rnacentral:misc_RNA from 1 species